UACAGAGGUCCCGAGCGUUGUUCGGAUUUAUUGGGCGUAAAGGGUGCGUAGGCGGCGGAGUAAGUUGGGUGUGAAAUCCCGGGGCUUAACCUCGGAGUUGCAUUCAAUACUGCUUCGCUUGAGUACUGGAGAGGAGGCUGGAAUUUACGGUGUAGCAGUGAAAUGCGUAGAUAUCGUAAGGAAGGCCGGUGGCGAAAGCGAGCCUCUGGACAGUUACUGACGCUGAUGCACGAAGGCCAGGGGAGCAAACGGG
rnacentral:rRNA from 1 species